rnacentral:lncRNA from 1 species
AUUAAGGUGGUAUGGGUGUCUUCCUCCAUCUUGGAUUGUAAAAAACAGAGAACCAAAGGUCCAGAUUUUCUAUCAAGUUAGUAAAAUUUGAUGCAGGAAUGCAGAUAUUUAAUGUGAAUUUUCAUUUAAAAGAAUCAAUUUAUAAGAAUAUAACUUAUAAAUAUUGAUAUUUUUGCAAAUGAUGAUUAUUUUUGGUUGUUCUUAAAAAUAAAUUAAAUUGGCAUUUUAAGGGGAGGUAACUCUAAAACAG